UAGUCCACGCCGUAAACGAUGGACACUAGUUGUUGGAUUUAGAUUCAGUGACUAAGCGAAAGUGAUAAGUGUCCCACCUGGGGAGUACGAUCGCAAGAUUGAAACUCAAAGGAAUUGACGGGGGGCCCGCACAAGCGGUGGAGCAUGUGGUUUAAUUCGAUGAUACGCGAGGAACCUUACCAGGGCUUAAAUGUGGAAUGACAGGGCUAGAGAUAGCUUUUUUCUUCGGACAUUUCACAAGGUGCUGCAUGGUUGUCGUCAGCUCGUGCCGUGAGGUGUCAGGUUAAGUCCUAUAACGAGCGCAACCCCUAUCGUUAGUUGCUAGCAGGUAAAGCUGAGGACUCUAGCGAGACUGCCGGUGCAAACCGUGAGGAAGGUGGGGAUGACGUCAAAUCAUCACGGCCCUUACGUCCUGGGCCACACACGUGCUACAAUGGUAUGGACAAUGAGCAGCCACUAUGCGAAUAGGAGCGAAUCUAUAAACCAUAUCAC
rnacentral:rRNA from 1 species